rnacentral:rRNA from 2 species
UACGGGGGGAGCAAGCGUUGUUCGGAUUUACUGGGCGUAAAGGGCGGGUAGGCGGCCACUGCAAGUCGGUUGUGAAAUCUCCGGGCUUAACUCGGAAAGGUCAAUCGAUACUGCAGGGCUAGAGUGCAGAAGGGGCAACUGGAAUUCUCGGUGUAGCGGUGAAAUGCGUAGAUAUCGAGAGGAACACCUGCGGCGAAGGCGGGUUGCUGGGCUGACACUGACGCUGAACUGCGAAAGCUAGGGGAGCGAACGGG